GGGGGCAGAAAGGCGACUGGUGUGUCUCCUGGUCUUCAAAACCAGUGUGGGGCUUAAAGAAGAAGUCCCGGGUGGGUUCGAUUCCCACAUGUCCCC
rfam:Lachnospiraceae bacterium CAG:215 genomic scaffold, scf230